rnacentral:lncRNA from 1 species
CUAUCGGGAGGGGUAAAACAAUAAUUUUCUAUAAAUUUCCAAAAAUGACCUUCAGGGUCAUUAAUUUAUCCACCACUAAAAACCAUAUUUGUCCUCAAACAUAAAGAAAAAGAAAGACGAAUACUCGACGUUACCAAAAGGCUAAGGCAUAAUUCCCAAAUUCGGUAUUUGCUUCUCCAAGUGAACUCAUUCUUAGGACCAUAUCAUCAGG